rnacentral:rRNA from 1 species
UACGGAGGGUGCAAGCGUUAUCCGGAUUCACUGGGUUUAAAGGGUGCGUAGGCGGGCAGGUAAGUCAGUGGUGAAAUCUCCGAGCUUAACUCGGAAACUGCCAUUGAUACUAUUUGUCUUAAAUAUUGUGGAGGUAAGCGGAAUAUGUCAUGUAGCGGUGAAAUGCUUAGAUAUGACAUAGAACACCAAUUGCGAAGGCAGCUUACUACACAAUGAUUGACGCUGAGGCACGAAAGCGUGGGGAUCAAACAGG